GACGAACGCUGGCGGCGUGCCUAAUACAUGCAAGUCGAACGCACUCUCGUUUAGAUUGAAGGAGCUUGCUCCUGAUUGAUAAACAUUUGAGUGAGUGGCGGACGGGUGAGUAACACGUGGGUAACCUGCCCUAAAGUGGGGGAUAACAUUUGGAAACAGAUGCUAAUACCGCAUAAAACCUAAACACCGCAUGGUGUAGGGUUGAAAGAUGGUUUCGGCUAUCACUUUAGGAUGGACCCGCGGUGCAUUAGUUAGUUGGUGAGGUAAAGGCUCACCAAGACCGUGAUGCAUAGCCGACCUGAGAGGGUAAUCGGCCACACUGGGACUGAGACACGGCCCAGACUCCUACGGGAGGCAGCAGUAGGGAAUCUUCCACAAUGGACGAAAGUCUGAUGGAGCAACGCCGCGUGAGUGAAGAAGGUUUUCGGAUCGUAAACUCUGUUGUUGGAGAAGAAUGUAUCUGAUAGUAACUGGUCAGGUAGUGACGGUA
rnacentral:rRNA from 1 species